GAGGGUAUAACUCAGUGGUAGACUACAUGCAUAGCAUGCCUGAGGUCCUGGGUUCAAUCCCCAGUAUCUCCA
rnacentral:tRNA from 1 species